ACCUCAUUUUAUUCAAAAAAACACAGAAUGAGGUUCUGGAUUAAACGCCCCUACUGGCUACUGCUAAGUUUUGCAAUAAAAAGAUUAUGAAGUAGCAUACAAAUUACAGGUUUGGUCCAGUGGUUUAGACAAUGUUGAAACUAUCCCUAGACAUUACAUCAUCUGAUGAAUGUUUUGACUUGAUUGCUGGUUUUAUCGAGCACAGAGAUUGUACAGUCUUGAUGAUGAGGUGAACACCGAACUAUCCAUGAUCUGUUCUGGAAUCUUAUAAUCAGGAGACUCUGAUAACUUAAAGAACCGUCACUUGACUCCACUUAGGACUCUGAGGGAUGUCAUCAUCUUACUCAUCUUCCUCUCUACGGCUUUCAUGUUCCUCAUCUACUUCGCACCACCUUUUGCUCUAGCUCUACGCCUUCUCAGCGUCCACCAAUCUAGAAAAUCUACAUCCUUCAUCUUUGGUCACUGGCUAGCUCUAUGCUUCAAAUGCUUUCAACGUUUAAAGACCCUCGAGAGCCCUUGUGGCUAGCUCUCUUCCCUGAAGGAACUGACUUCACUGAAGAGAAAUGCAAGAGAAGCCAAAAGUUUGCAGCCGAAGCUGGUCUUCCAACGCUAUCAAACGUACUUUUAUAGCCCUGUUCGUUAUAAAGACGCCGCGAUCAGCGUCAACGGCCAAUUAUUACACUGUAACGGAAGAAAAUUCAUUGAUAGGGCUGUUCGUUUGGUUGCCGCAGGUACUGGUAGAGUUGUAAACUGGGCGAGCCCAUGUCCAUUAGCCCAUAUCCAUUUGUCCAUUCAUUGUUUGUGGACAGCAAAGUGACCAUGUCCAUUAAGAACCAUGUCCAUUAAAGACCAUACCCACUAACACCCAUAUUUUUAUGGGCUGCCAUGGGGUCCAUAAUGACCAUAUAAGAAAAUUUUAAAUUUUAAUUUAUAAGCAUACAAUUAUAUAUAAAAGUUCAUAAAAUUAAAAUUCAUCCAUAAAUUCAAAAGUACAACAAUACAUAAGUUCAUAAAUACAACAAUUACGGUUUUGGUGGGAAAAAUUGAUUUUGCAGUUUUGGCGGAAAAACUCGAUUUUGCAGUUUUGACGGAAAAACUCGAUUUUGCAGUUUUGACGGAAAAACUCGAUUUUUCAGUUUUGGCGGAAAAAACUCAUUUUUGCGG